AGAGAGGAUUUUGCUGUGAGAUUGACAGGCGGAAUCUGUUAGCAUUUUACAAUAGCAUCAGCUUGUUAGCUGUGAAGACGGUCGUUCAGCAACGUGAUCCGGAGUGCCACUGCUUUGUUUUGUGUUACAGGAUCAGCACUGAACACAAACAAACUGUGAUCUCGCCAUGAUGGAAGACAAAAUAUAGUUACUGAACCCUGUUUAUUGUAAACACUGGAGCCGAGGCUUUCCAAAUGGCUUGCAGGCUUCUUGGCUGCAAAUGGCGAACUGCAGGAUAGAGAUGGAGAAAUGGCCGACGGGACAGAUGAUGUGCACAGUCCACACAAUGCUCAGCCCCGUCUCUGUAUCGGACAUAACAUCCUGAGACAGCGGAGAUUGGUGGCCAGGAUACUGAAUUUUUCAUGAGGCAGGAAAGGUUAGAUAAGAUCCUCCCACGUUCUGGAGAUAGUGCACUUACAGAUCUGUCUUUGCAGCCCGACGGUUGAAAAAAUAAAAAAACAUUUGCAUCA